GCCUGGGUGGCUCAGUCGGUUAAGCGUCCGACUUCGGCUCGGGUCAUGAUCUCGCAGUUUGUGAGUUCGAGCCCCGCACUGGGCU
rnacentral:tRNA from 1 species